rnacentral:rRNA from 1 species
AGUGAACGCUGGCGGUAGGCCUAACACAUGCAAGUCGAACGGCAGCACAGUAAGAGCUUGCUCUUACGGGUGGCGAGUGGCGGACGGGUGAGGAAUACAUCGGAAUCUACUUUUUCGUGGGGGAUAACGUAGGGAAACUUACGCUAAUACCGCAUACGACCUACGGGUGAACGCAGGGGAUCUUCGGACCUUGCGCGAUUGAAUGAGCCGAUGUCGGAUGAGCUAGUUGGCGGGGUAAAGGCCCACCAAGGCGACGAUCCGUAGCUGGUCUGAGAGGAUGAUCAGCCACACUGGAACUGAGACACGGUCCAGACUCCUACGGGAGGCAGCAGUGGGGAAUAUUGGACAAUGGGCGCAAGCCUGAUCCAGCCAUACCGCGUGGGUGAAGAAGGCCUUCGGGUUGUAAAGCCCUUUUGUUGGGAAAGAAAAGCAGCAGGUUAAUACCCCGCUGUUCUGACGGUACCCAAAGAAUAAGCACCGGCUAACUUCGUG